UAGAAAACUCAUAAAAUGGCUCCCCAUGCUACCCACUUCCUGGCAAUCACUCCCUUGAGUGUGAGCUGGACCUGGUGAGUUGUUCCUCACAAGGAAGAGAUGUCACUGCUGAUGUUUGGAUAUAAACAACAGUGACACUGAUGUCUCUCUCUCUCUCUCUCUCUCACCCCUCUCACCCCCCCACCUCCAGGGUGCUCCUCACUUGGCGGUUCUUAUGGAAGCCAUCUACCAAAUUGUGAGCUUCCUUAUGAAAUGGGCCAUGUGGCAAAGGACUGAGGAUGGUGUCUGUUCAACAGCCAGUAGGAUAUUGAGGCUCUUAGUUUAACCACCCACAAGGAAGUGAAUUCGUCAACAGCACAAGCAGAGGGAUGAGCAAUGAACCGGAAGUUGAGAAACAGUGUUCCAUGCUCAGCAGUAUCACAACUAGCUGUGCAAAUCCAAGAUAAUUUAGUGACAACUUUCAAAAACUGAAGAAAGAUACAAGACAGCUGAAUAGGGAAAAGAUGUGCUGUUUCUGACUACAGGAAGAUAGUAGAAGAAAAAGAGAGGAAUCGCAUUCCCAGAGGACAGCUGGAGAAAAGUUUGCAGUGGAAAUUCUACAAAAAGAAGAGAGACACUGUAGAGCAGUGUGGACAGUACAAUCUCACAGCAGCAAGUAGGAAACCACCAGCAAAUCCCACAGCCAGUGGCUGGACAGGAUAUUCCCUUGGAACAAGGCACCUGGCAGUCAGCAAAGAGGAAAUGCCAUCUUAAUAAGGCAAGUAGAGGUUGCUGUGGUAUGUAUGUGUGCUACUAGAGGACUCUCAGGGAGAUAAAUCUGUGUUCUCACUGACUUUGUGUCUGACCGGGAGGGUUGGCAGGGGGUAGGGCACCCACUUAGGCCCACGAAGCACUCCCUCCUCUCACUAUAUUAAGGUGCCCAGACGCAACUUGCCAAGGUGAAGCACCAACCAACCUCUAUUGGUUAGGCAACUGACUCUGGGAAUGCCACAACUCUUUCUGUGAACAGAGGAGGCUUGUGUAGGCUGAGAGUGGAUCCCUUUCUCCCUAUCACUGUGUAAGACUUGUGCCUAUGACUGUGAGAAUUCUGUGACUGCACAAUAGGGCCUGUGAUAGGGCAUGGCUAGGUCUUUCGGCAAUCACUGUAUAUGGCUCCAGAGGUUCAGGGUUCUGUGCUCACAUUGAGGAGCCCAAAGAUCCUUUUGCAGUUCAUGCACCUGCUUGAGUAAGAUGCUUAGGCACUGUGGGCUCACCCAGUGAUUGGUUCACCUUGGAAGAGAGGAGCUGACACUGUGACCCACCAGCUGAUGCCAUCAUACUCUCCCUUCUGCUGGUGGUAGAGGAGACCCUCCAUGCCCAACUUAGUUGUUGUCCUGGACCCUUAACCCACACUUAAGCACUGGCAAUAGCUCCUUGGUCCCACCCAGCAUACACCUUUGGAUAGCCACUGAAGGAGAAGACACUCCACUAAGCCACAGAGGCAUAUUUCAAAGAUAAGAACUACCAAAAGAAAAAACCAACAAGUGUUUCCAAAAGUGCCUAAAAGUAAAUGUAAAAAUAUAAGAAACAUGAACAAGGAAGACAAUAUGACUCCCCAGAAGGAACACAACAGAAUUUCAAUAUUAGAAUGUGAAGAUGAAGAUAUUAAUGAAGUGCCCAAAAAGGAAUUCAAAAGCAUGCUCAUAAGAUUGCUCAAAAACACAGAGAAGCAAACACAUUCGUUAAGGAAAUCCAUACAUGACAUGGAUGAGAAAAUUCUGGUGAGACAGACAUUGAAGAGAAAUCAAACAAAUAUUAGAAAUGAAGAAUUGGAUAUGUCAAAUAAAAAUACAGUGGAAAAUCUUAACAACACAACUGGUGAAGCAGAAGAAAGAAUAUCCAAGCUAGAAGACAAAUCUUUGGAAUUCUCUCAUUUAGAUAGGAAAAGAAGAAGGAGGACAAGGAGGAGGAGGAAGAUGAGGAGGAGGAGGAGCAGGAAGAAGAAGAAGAAGCAGGAGGAGGAGGAGGAGGAGGAAGAGUAAGAGGAGGAAGAAGAAGAAGGGGAAGGAGAUGAGGAGGAGAGGAGAAGGAGGAGGAGAAGAAGAGGAGACGAAAUAAUAAUAAUAAUUAGAAAAAUAAAAAUAGUGUUAGAGAUUUAUUAGAUACUAUCAAAUGAACAAAAAUACUCAUCUUAAGAGUUCCUGAAGGUGUGGAGGGAGAAUGGGUUAGAUGAUAUAGUCAGUGAAUAAUAGCAUAAAAUUUUUCUAAUUUGGAGAAAGAUAAGGACAUCCAAGUACAGAUAGCACAUAGAACUCUUAAUAGACAUGAUCAGAAAUUUCUCCACCAUAUCACAUUAUAGUCAGUCUUUAAAAGUAAAAUAUAAAGAAAAGAUUCUAAAAUGUGUACCAAAGAUGCACCAGAUUACCUUCAAAAUAUCUCCAAUUAGACUGACAACUGAUUUCUCAUCAGAAAUCUUACAAGCUAGAAAAGAAUGGAGACACACAGUCCAAGAGCUAAAAGAAAAAAAAAACCUGUGAGCCCAGAAUACUGCACCCAGUAAAGCUCUUAUUUGUAAGUGAAGUUGAAAUAAAUACCCUCCAGAAUUAAUACACAGUUAUUCUUAAGUGUUAAAAAUUAACUGAAAGGUGAUCCCUGUUAAACAUAAGAGUGGGAAUAAGAGAGGGAAGAGAUGUAUAAUUUGGGACAUGCUCAAGCUGACUUGCCCCAAAUGGUAGAGUUAAAAACAUACCAGGGGAUUCCAAUUCAAUCCCAUCAAGGUGGCAUGUACCAAUGCCAUCUCACUAUUCCAAGUGAUCAAUUUCAGUUCACAAAUGAUCAUAAUGAAAGGACUAAGAGUCAAAGGGAGCACAUAAACAAGUCUAGUACCUGCUAACACUAACCGAUGGAAUAAAUAAAGGGGAGAGUGAUCCAACAUGGGAAGUGAGAUACUCAGCAGACUCAUAGAAUGGCGGAUGUCCAAAAUAGCACUCUGGCCUCAGAAUCAGCCCUAAAGGCACUCGGAUCUGGCUGAAAAGCCCAUGAGAGUAUUUCAGGCAUGGAAAGCCAAGACACUCUGGCAAAAAGAUCUCAGUGAGUGAGAUCCCAGUGGAAAGAACAGGUCUUCAAAGAGGGAGGUGCCUUUCUCUGAAGGGAGGAGAGAACCUCCACUUUGACUAUGACCUUGUCUAAACAAGAUAAGAAUCAGAGAACUCAGAGGGCUUCCAUAGCCUUGGAAACUCAUGACUGGAACAUAGGGAGACUACUGAUGCCAUAGACAGGAGUGUCAAUUGGUAAAGUCAACAACAGGAGUCACUGUGCACUUACUCCUCAUGUAGGAUCUCUGUCCUUAAUGUGCUGUACACUGAGGCUUAAUGCUAUAACAGUACUCAAACAAUAUAUUUCACUUUGUGUUUCUAUGGGGGUGCAAACUGUUGAAAUCUUUACUUAAUGUACACUAAACUGAUCCUCUGUAAAAAAAAGAAAGAAAGAAAUUAUCAACUCCCAACUUGACUCUCACUGGGAUUAAACAUGACAAUAGGUCUGAUCUGAUUUCAUCAUCAUUUAAAAAAAAUCAUCUAUUAUAUUUCACUUUAUGUUUCUGUGUGAGAGCAAACUGUUGAAAUCCUUACUUAAUGUAUACUAAGCUGAUCUUCUGUAUAUUAAGAUAAUCGAAA